GACGAACGCUGGCGGCGUGCUUAACACAUGCAAGUCGAACGGAAAGGCCCUGCUUUUGUGGGGUGCUCGAGUGGCGAACGGGUGAGUAACACGUGAGUAACCUGCCCUUGACUUUGGGAUAACUUCAGGAAACUGGGGCUAAUACCGGAUAGGAGCUCCUGCUGCAUGGUGGGGGUUGGAAAGUUUCGGCGGUUGGGGAUGGACUCGCGGCUUAUCAGCUUGUUGGUGGGGUAGUGGCUUACCAAGGCUUUGACGGGUAGCCGGCCUGAGAGGGUGACCGGCCACAUUGGGACUGAGAUACGGCCCAGACUCCUACGGGAGGCAGCAGUGGGGAAUAUUGUACAAUGGGCGGAAGCCUGAUGCAGCAACGCCGCGUGCGGGAUGACGGCCUUCGGGUUGUAAACCGCUUUCGCCUGUGACGAAGCGUGAGUGACGGCAAUGGGUAAAGAAGCACCGGCUAACUACGUG
rnacentral:rRNA from 1 species